UUGGUGGGAGUUCACUAUAUAACGGUCUCCUUAAGUUCUCGUUUUCGUUUUAUUUUGAGACCGAAAAUCUGCCUUAUAGGCCUACAUUAUAUUGUUUAGUUAUUUCUUAUUUCAUUCGUACUCUUAAACAGAAGUAAAUAUUUAUAGCUGUGUUAUUUCGGAAUUCAUCAUCGAAAAAAUGACGCGACAUGUUUGGUUUUUAUUCGUAGUAUUGAUCCCAUGUUCAAUCACUUCUAGUAUUACGCCGAGUGAGCGUAUGGUUAGUAUUAAACGUUGGGUAAACAAUACGGCCAUGACAUUCAAAGUUAAACUGGACUGUUCGUUUAUUUGUGUUGAUAAAAAUGAAGUUGAGUGGAGUGUAGACUCCACCGACCAAGCCCAAAAUUACGUACAAGUGGUGUCACCAAAUGAAAAGAUUCUCAGAAUAGAAAAUAUCUCGAGAUACGAUACGGGCGUGUACAAAUGUAUGUCAAAAAAUGACCCUUACCGGUUCGUAAAGAUCAUUUUUCACAUUUUUGGUGACAAACCAGGUACUCGGCAUUAUGGAUAUCAGCCUAAAACCUUCACUGGCCACAUAUCGCUGGACCCAUCCCUGGAUUAUGUCGGGAACCUUGUGAGAGAUAGCCCAAAGUGGCAAAAUUUCAAGGCCGGCCAAUUUUUAUCUUUUUUUCGCUACUUUUUAAAUUUGAGACGUACAUUUUAUGACGAUUGAUUAAAAAAAUUAUGGUUGUCAAGUGGAUAAAAAAUACGUCUUAAAUUGCUAUAUCUUGCAUAUCGAAAAUACCAUAAUAUUUUUUUAAAAUGAAUUUGACGAUUCAAUCAAGAAAUUCUACGAAGCUAAAUCCAGAAAACGAAUGUUUAAAAUAUAAAAAAAUUAAAUUAAUUUUGAAUAAUAUAGAUUUUUUUUCAAAUUCAAUAUUAGAUGUUCUUGGACUUUUUUCUUUUUUAAUUUUUAAUAAAAUCAAAUUUUGAAUGUUGAUACCCAUCUUAUAAAAUUUUAAACAAAACCAAAUUGUUACUUUAAUAAAACUUAAAUCAUGUUAAGAAUUUUGUUCUUGUUUUUUUUUUUGUUUUUUAUUUUUCAAUAUAGGUUCUUGUUAUUUUUUAAAAAUUUAAACUAGAUUUAGAACUUUGUUCUUGUUUUACUUUUUUUUCAAUCUUCAUUUUUUAUAAAACCAAAAAUAUACUGCGAAAAUAUUUUUCAUUUAGGGGCAUAAUAUGUUUCAAAUCUGGUCAAGAGGUUCUUUGUUGAAUUGUCCUGCAGAAAUCAACUCCAAUGAACGAUUUUAGAAUUCAGCAUUCUGAAAAUACUCGAUCCCAUUUACAUCGUAAUUCAAUUUGUAAUAUUUAAAAACCGUUCAAGAAACACAAGCGUACAAUUUUUUUUUUCAUUUUUUAAACUAGUUUUUUUUACAUUGAUAGAGAAAAAGACUAUAGAAAAAUGAAAUAAGUUAGGUACCUACUUAUACUUCAUAAUGAAGCAGAUUUUAAUGUAAAAAAAACAGCACUAGACCCACUUACGAUUAUAUCCGAUUGCAUCUCAAUCAAUAAAUUGAUAUCGUCAAAA